rnacentral:rRNA from 1 species
UACAGAGGGUGCGAGCGUUAAUCGGAAUUACUGGGCGUAAAGCGUGCGUAGGUGGUUCGCUAAGUCAGGUGUGAAAGCCCGGGGCUUAACCUCGGAAUUGCAUUUGAUACUGGCGAGCUAGAGUGUGGUAGAGGGUGGUGGAAUUCCCGGUGUAGCGGUGAAAUGCGUAGAUAUCGGGAGGAACAUCAGUGGCGAAGGCGGCCACCUGGACCAACACUGACACUGAGGCACGAAAGCGUGGGUAGCAAACAGG